rnacentral:rRNA from 13 species
NNNNNNNNNNNNNNNNNNNNNNNNNNNNNNNNNNNNNNNNNNNNNNNNNNNACACAUGCAAGUUUUACUUUUAUCUAACACUUUUUUAUUUGGUGUUUUGAUAAUAAAUUAAAGUAAGGCGAACGGGUGAGUAAUAUAUAAGAAUCUACCAUUCAAUUUUUAUAAUUAAUGAUGAGCUUAUAUCUAAUUAGUUUGUUGGCGGGGUAAGGCCUACCAAGACUUUGAUUAGUAGUUGGUUUGGAAGAAUGAUCAGCCACACUAGGACUGAAACAAGGCCUAGACUAAUUUUUUAAUUAGUCAGCAGUGGGGGAUAUUCUGCAAUGGGCAAUAAGUGCCUGACAGAGUAAUAUCGAGUUAACUCAAAUGAGUUUAUUUCUUAAAAGAUUAAUUAAGAAGGUAUUUUAAGAAAAGUAUUGGCUAACUCCUGUGCCAGCAGCCGCGGUAAUACAGGGAAUGCAAGCGUUAUUCGGUUUAAUUAGGUGUAAAAGGUUGUUAGGCUUUUCGUUAAGUGUUUUGUUAAAGUCCAAAAUUAUUUAACCAUUCCUUAAUUAUAAAUUUUAUAGUUUUUUUGGGGUGCAUUUCAUACUAACAGAAUGGAGUAUUAAACACAAAAGAUAGAUAGAACCUUAUGAUGAACAAUUAAAUGUUUUAAAUAUAAGGGACUGCCAAUGGUGAAGACAAUCUAUUAUGUUAAUACUGACGCUGAGUCAACGAAAGCACGGGAGAAAUGGGAUUUAGAGACCCCAGUAAUCGUAUGCUGUAAAUUUUGAAUACUAGGCUAUAAACAAAAGAAGACUUUACUGGUUCCAUUAACUCAGUUUAUUGGAAUGCAAGUUUUCUUUUCCUUUUUUUUUUAAUAUAUAUUAAUAUUUUAUAUAUAGUAUAUAUUUUUUGUGGCCACAGUUAACACGUUUAAGUAUUGUACCUGGAAAGUACGUCCGCAAGGAUGAAAUUCAAAGGAAUUGGCGUGAAUCUUUACAUUUUUACAACGAUGGAGCAUGUGGUUUAAUUCGACAAAGAGCGAAAAACAUUAUCAAGGUUUAACGGUGGUGCAUGGCUGUUAUCGUGCUGUGAAGUGUCAGGUUAAGUCCUGUAACGAGCGCAACCCUUAGUAAUUUGUUGUUUAAUUAUAAAUAAAGAACUAAUUAUGACUUCUUAAUAAUACAUAAAAAGAGGAAGAAGGACAAAAACAAGUAAACUUGCCCCUAUACUUUGAGCAACACGCGUGCUACAAUGGAAAAUAACAAAGUUUUAUUCUUAAAUAUUUCCUCAGUUCGGAUUGUAUAUGGAUUAAAAUGCCUACAUGAAGUUGAAAUCGUAUUUUGAAGUAAUCGUAAAAAGGUCCUUACGGUGAAGAUUUGUUUUAAAUUUUUUUUUAUUUCGUAAAGGUUUCGUACAUACUGCCCGUCACGUUCCGAUGAUUACGUUUUACUUAAAGUUUUUCCUAAGGAAAGAUGAAUGUAAAAUUGUCAUUGUAAUGAAGUCGUAACAAGGUAGCUGUGUCGGAAGGUGCGGNNNNNNNNNNNNNNNN